GGCCAUGGCAGUUACUCCUUCCUCAGUAGAUAAAUACAGGCAGGAUGAAGGCACUGCAAGGUUGUGGCUGUUUUCCAGGGGAUGCAGCCAGUUUCUAUACCAUCAGCACAACGCAGCCAGAGGAGCAGCAACUCCCUGAGGACCCCAGCUCGUUGGUGCAGUGCUCAUCCGUGAGUCUGAGAAUAAACCUACCAGGCUGAUAAGGUGCAGCAACUGACAGCAUCUAGGAAACAUCCCCAGAACACCACAAAAAAUCUGCACUCCUGAUUUUGAGAGAGGUUGUGAUGCAUGGCCCAAAGGAAGCAUCUCUGCACCCAAGGAACAAGCCACUGCAUUUGUUGACAGUUUACAUGGUACACAGGAGGGAACUCUGCCCUGGGCAGAUGAGGAUUGUCUUGUCCAGACAGAUGACAGAAUCUGAGAAGUAGCAGGAGCUCUUUGGCAUCCUGCUGUGAUCUGUGGGGAGAAAGGUGCAGCUGUGAGAGUCCAGGCUAUGGCAGCCCUGCUAUUGGAACAUGAACUGCUGCCAGAUGAUCUCUUGUCUCUUUUAAGUAAAGGUGUUUCCAUGGCUAUGUGUGCAGUCACAGUACAUCCAUGAACCGCAGCCCUGUCAGGUCUCCCUUAGAAGACACUUUCAAGAAAGGCAGAGGAAGAGAAGGAAUGAGGUUUGGCUGCAGGCUUGGCCAACCGCACCACUUGUCCAUGGAAAAGCUCUGAACCUCAAGCAGCAAGCUCCUUCUGCACCAGGAGAUC
rnacentral:lncRNA from 1 species